rnacentral:rRNA from 1 species
AUUGAACGCUGGCGGCAGGCCUAACACAUGCAAGUCGAGCGAGCGGCGGACGGGUGAGUAAUGUCUGGGAAACUGCCUGAUGGAGGGGGAUAACUACUGGAAACGGUAGCUAAUACCGCAUACCAUCAGAUGUGCCCAGAUGGGAUUGGCUAGUAGGUGGGGUAAUGGCUCACCUAGGCGACGAUCCCUAGCUGGUGUGAGAGGAUGACCAGCCACACGGGAACUGAGCCACGGGCCAGACCCUGAGGGGAGGCAGCAGUGGGGAAUAUUGCACAAUGGGCGAAAGCCUGCUGCAGCCAGGCCGCGUGUGUGAAAAAGGCCUGCGGGUUGUAAAGCACUUUCAGCGAGGAGGCGUUACUCGCAGAAGAAGCACCGGCUAACUCCGUGCCAGCAGCCGCGGUAAUAC